UACGUAGGGUGCAAGCGUUGUCCGGAAUUAUUGGGCGUAAAGAGCUCGUAGGCGGUUUGUUGCGUCGGCUGUGAAAUCCCGAGGCUCAACCUCGGGUCUGCAGUCGAUACGAGCAAACUAGAGUGUUGCAGGGGAGACUGGAAUUCCUGGUGUAGCGGUGAAAUGCGCAGAUAUCAGGAGGAACACCGGUGGCGAAGGCGGGUCUCUGGGCAACAACUGACGCUGAGGGAAGCGAAAAGCGUGGGGAGCGAACAGGG
rnacentral:rRNA from 1 species